AAGUAACAUGUCGGCCCUUUUGUCUAAUAAAUAAACCUAUCCCACAUUAGUGGGUGACCACCGGCCCAAACCACCAACUAAAUAAGCAAACCCAACCGGCCCAUAUUGCCCAAAUACUGUUAUAAUACAAGUUACGUAUCCAUUCUCUUUGUCUCAUAAUUGCAACACAUCAACCCUAAUUAUUCAUCACACAACGGCAGUAGCAAGACCCCUGUUUCUGUUUCGGUUUACAUCACAACUAGUCGGAUUUCUGGGCGUUUAUGAACAGACAGUUAAGCGAGUAAAUAAUCUUACCGAGCAAAACCAAGGUCCAGGUAUCUUGGAUUUGGGAACUUGCUGUCUGGAAUAGCUGGAGUGGUCAUGGGUCGACUGGAGGGAAUCAUGUAUUUAAACUAUUGAUACUAUACAUUGGUUUCGAAAUAGUUUAACUUGGGUUUACUAUUUGCUUCCGCUGAACAUGUUGGUUUUCAUUUAAACUUGUUAAUGAUAAUUGAGGAUUUUAUUUGGAAAUUUGUAUGGGUUCAAUGUAAUUAGUGGCUUGUUGUUGGUACGUCACACGCCUAACAGGGACAUUCCCUAGGUGGUAGUUUGGGGGUGUGACAUUGGACAUGUGAAGAGGAGGCAAGCAACGGCCCCAGUUGGGGUAGUGGAAACCAUCACUGUAGAUGGUAGGAGGGGUAGAGGUGGACUCAAAUUGACUUGGGCCGAGCGGAUUAGACAGGAUUUGAUAUAAAUGCACCUAUCCGAGGACAUGGUCCAAGAUAGGAGUUCGUGGAGACGUAGGAUAAAAGUUAAGGAGUUUUAGGGGUUAGGUAAGAUGUGGUUGGGUGUUGUCAAAGGGGUUAUAGAUUUGCCUACACUUUAGAUGGUCUUGGAGGGUGAUUGUCUUACGAUAUGUAUAUGGAUAUGAGUAUGUUUCUCUAUGAUGCUAUAUUUACCUUUACUGUUUUUUGCUUUUA